UUUCUUAGCAUUCUUCUGGGCUCAUCAUUCAGGGGGGAUCAGACUUUCUGGGCUGACUGGGGUAGAAGAGCAACUGAAGAGCAGAAUUUUCUACUGCAGUGGUUCCAGAAGGAAGUACAUCACUAAAUUAUUGAUAAGGUGAUCUCAACCUCACCUGCUGUGAAGAUGGCAAGUCUAGGAACCCUCAUGUUUAUGACUCAGUUUACCAGGAAGACAGUGCCCCCAACGUAUCUCCGUUGAGUAUCUCAUCAAACCUCUUCUGAAAAGUACUUUUGGGGUCAGCAUCAUCAAGACCACAUUACAGAAUGGCAGAAAACGGAUGACACAUGCGGGCCACUCUGAAAUGGAGCAGCUCUGCCAAAGGAACAGUGAGAGGAGAGCCAAUCCAGCUGUGCUUCCAGAAUACUUGCAGGGUGUGCUUUACAUAUAUGCUCCUGGAGGCAGGCUGCUGUGGGGUCCCAGCGCCAGAAAGCAGCAGCAGCUCCGUGAUGCUCCCUUUGCCCAAUGACAGGUGCUCUUCAUGAGCACCACAAACAAGGGCCUUUACCUGAAUCCUGCUUGGCUUGUUCGGACAGCAACAAUCGUGGAAUGAUGUGAAUGGGCUCAAGUACGUCUGUACUUAUCAGGAACUGAGGAGGUGUUUACUGGGCAGAGGGUCCUGCUUUUUACAGCUGUUGGAUGUGGUCAUUUCCUACAAUCACACAGACACAUUCUGUUAUCAGUAUAGAGUCACUCCUGGGUUCUCUCAGGAGGACUAUAUAAGGCCUUCAAAAUGUGAUCCUGAAAUCAGCAGGAUCACCUGGGAGCUUACUGGAAAUGCAGAAGAAUAUGAGGUCCCAUCUGGGGCCUGCUGAAUCGGAAUCUGUCCUUACAAGAUUCCCAAGGGGUUCAUAUGCACAUUGAAAUUUGAGAAGCCCUGACCUAAGGCACAAAAGCAUGCCAAUAAAACAAUCAGCUUCAGA